CCUACGGGAGGCAGCAGUGGGGAAUUUUGGACAAUGGGCGCAAGUCUGAUCCAGCCAUGCCGCGUGUGGGAAGAAGGCCUUCGGGUUGUAAACCACUUUUGUCAGGGAAGAAACGGUUUGUCCUAAUACGGCGGACUAAUGACGGUACCUGAAGAAUAAGCACCGGCUAACUACGUGCCAGCAGCCGCGGUAAUACGUAGGGUGCAAGCGUUAAUCGGAAUUACUGGGCGUAAAGCGUGCGCAGGCGGCUUUGCAAGACAGAUGUGAAAUCCCCGGGCUCAACCUGGGAACUGCAUUUGUGACUGCAUGGCUAGAGUACGGUAGAGGGGGAUGGAAUUCCGCGUGUAGCAGUGAAAUGCGUAGAUAUGCGGAGGAACACCGAUGGCGAAGGCAAUCCCCUGGACCUGUACUGACGCUCAUGCACGAAAGCGUGGGGAGCAAACAGGAUUAGAUACCCUGGUAGUCCACGCCCUAAACGAUGUCACUGGUUGUGGACGGCUUGCUGUUCAGUAACGAGCUAACGCGUGAGUAGACGCCGUGGAGGUACGGCCGCGAGUAGAACGUACGAAGAGAGUUAGACGGCGUGAGACGUAGCCGACGGACGACGACGAGGGGAGGUUAGG
rnacentral:rRNA from 1 species